GUCCUUGCCUUGCCGUCUCCCGCAUUCGGGCCGCUCCCCGCAUUUCCACCGCUCCCACUGCUGGGUAAAUGUUCAUCUGGACGGGAACAGGAUCGGGAACCGCCGGCGGCCGGGGAGCCGGGCGGGAGAUAGGAGGCCGGCCCUGACACGAAUUAGCUCGGAGAUUGCCCGAUACGCCUCGGCAUUCCCGCGGCGCUGGCCCGGGCCGAGCGAACUGCUUUGCCUUUGGCCACGUUGUCCAGGACCCGUCUGCUCCUGGUGCCCCCAGCUCCUCAGGGUCCGGCCGGGUCACCUGGGCCGAUCCUGGCGGGCAGGGGCCUCGCUGCUCCUCCCCCGCAGCCCCUCUCGCCCUCCCGGGGACCGUGUGCGGGGAGCAGCUGGGAGCUGCGUCUGGAGGGGCUGUCCGACUGGGGAACGUCCAGAAAUGAAGCAGAAGUGAGUAAAUUUUAAUGAAA
rnacentral:lncRNA from 1 species